AAUGAACGUUGGCGGCGUGGAUUAGGCAUGCAAGUCGUGCGGAAAGGCUCCUUCGGGAGUACUCGAGCGGCGUAAGGGAGAGUAACGCGUGGAUAUCUACCCCCGGGAUUGGGAUAGCGGCGGGAAACUGCCGGUAAUACCAGAUAACGUCUCCGGACCAAAGGUGUGACUCCGCCUGGGGAUGAGUCCGCGUCCUACUAGCCAGUUGGUGGGGUAAUGGCCUACCAAAGCUGAGAUGGGUACCGGGUGUGAGAGCAUGGCCCGGCUCACUGGGACUGAGACACUGCCCAGACACCUACGGGAGGCUG
rnacentral:rRNA from 1 species